AUUGCCUCAGUAACGGCGAGUGAAGCGGCAAAAGCUCAGAUUUGAAAUCUGGCGUCAUUUUGGCGUCCGAGUUGUAAUCUGUAGAGGAGUAUUCGAGUGUGGAUUUGGCUUAAGUUCCUUGGAACAGGACGUCAUAGAGGGUGAGAACCCCGUUAACGGCCUAUGUCUUAUGCUCAUGUGAAUCUCCUUCAACGAGUCGAGUUGUUUGGGAAUGCAGCUCUAAAUGGGUGGUAAAUUCCAUCUAAAGCUAAAUACUGGCAAGAGACCGAUAGCGCACAAGUAGAGUGAUCGAAAGAUGAAAAGAACUCUGAACAGAGAGUUAAAUAGUACGUGAAAUUGUUGAAAGGGAAGCACUUGCUACCAGACACGCCUGUAGUUGAUCAACCUUCAUUCUUGAUGGUGCACUCGGCUAUAGGUGGGUCAGCAUCAGUUACAACGGUGGGAUAAAGGCCUUGGGAAUGUAGCUUCCUUCGGGAAGUGUUAUAGCCCUUGGUGUAAUACCAUCUGAUGUGACUGAGACCCGCGCUU
rnacentral:rRNA from 1 species